rnacentral:rRNA from 1 species
CCUACGGGUGGCAGCAGUGGGGAAUAUUGGACAAUGGGCGAAAGCCUGAUCCAGCCAUGCCGCGUGUGUGAAGAAGGCCUUCGGGUUGUAAAGCACUUUCAGUGGGGAAGAAAGCCUUGGGGCUAAUACCCUCGAGGAAGGACAUCACCCACAGAAGAAGCACCGGCUAACUCCGUGCCAGCAGCCGCGGUAAUACGGAGGGUGGAGCGUUAAUCGGAAUUACUGGGCGUAAAGCGCGCGUAGGCGGUCUGAUAAGCCGGUUGUGAAAGCCCCGGGCUCAACCUGGGAACGGCAUCCGGAACUGUCAGGCUAGAGUGCAGGAGAGGAAGGGAGAAUUCCCGGUGUAGCGGUGAAAUGCGUAGAGAUCGGGAAGAAUACCAGUGGCGAAGGCGGCCUUCUGGACUGACACUGACGCUGAGGUGCGAAAGCGUGGGUAGCAAACAGGAUUAGAUACCCCUGUAGUC